rnacentral:rRNA from 1 species
CCUACGGGGGGCAGCAGUGGGGAAUAUUGCGCAAUGGGGGCAACCCUGACGCAGCAACGCCGCGUGAUUGAAGAAGGCCUUCGGGUUGUAAAGAUCUUUAAUCAGGGACGAAAAAUGACGGUACCUGUAGAAUAAGCCACGGCUAACUACGCGCCAGCAGCCGCGGCAAUACGGAGGUGGCAAGCGUUGUCCGGAUUUACUGGGUGUAAAGGGCGUGUAGCCGGGCUGACAAGUCAGAUGUGAAAUCCGGGGGCUCAACCCCCGAACUGCAUUUGAAACUGUUGGUCUUGAGUAUCGGAGAGGCAGGCGGAAUUCCUAGUGUAGCGGUGAAAUGCGUAGAUAUUAGGAGGAACACCAGUGGCGAAGGCGGCCUGCUGGACGACAACUGACGGUGAGGCGCGAAAGCGUGGGGAGCAAACAGGAUUAGAUACCCGUGUAGUC